rnacentral:rRNA from 1 species
GUCUACAACCAUACCACUCUGAAUGCACCUGAUCUUGUCUAAUCUCAGAAGCUAAGCAGGGCCAGGCCUGGUUAGUACUUGGAUGGGAGAUAUUGAAAUGCAAUGUUUCCAGAAG